AAAGCCUGCAGAGACAGGGAGAAAACCAGGGAUGGUGAGUGUUUUAAGGCUUGAUCCAACAUAUACAGUACGUCUUGCUACUCCAUCAUGGCUUCAGCUAUCAGUCUUUACCUCAGGCUAGAGGUCUUGAUCAAAUGAUAACUCUGGAAUCUGACGUUUGCAUUCACUGCGCGCGUGCGUGCGUGCGUGCGUGCGUGUGUGUGUGUGUCCUCUGACGUCUCCAUGCUGUCUCCCAGUGAUGCAUUAUUGAACAGAGAGCUAUAAAUAGACCACAGCUCCCCAAUCAAUCUAGUCUGAGCACAGAGGAGGAUGUGUGUGUGUUUAUGUGUGUCUUCAUACGCAGGUGGCAAGGCAUGUUGGGGCAGGCAGACACACACACACACACACACACACACACACACACACACAUUUGUGAGGCCCAGAGGGAGACAAUGUACCACUGUACACCUGACGACCGUCUCCGGGGGCACAAGGAAAUUCGUUUUUGGGGGACUUUAUGUUUAGGUCGCUGCAAACCAAGACAGGCUGGCGCCGUGCGCUCCUUCUCUCUCUCUCUCUCUCUCUCUGACACAGCAGAGGCCCACUGGGCCCACUAAAUAUAGUUAAACACACACAAUGGCUUCCAUUCAGCUGCCACACACACACACACACACACACACACACACACACACACACACACACACACACACACACACACACACACACACACACACACACACACACACACACACACACACACACACACACACACAGGCCUAAUAUCCAUUUUAAGGGCAUUUCCUCGAUUCGAAAGCAAUAACCAGGAUCACUAUGAGUGCCCUCGGGUAAUAGCGGACACAAGAAGGGAGAGGGAGGGAGGGAGAGAGGGACGGAGAGAGAGAGGGAGGAAGAAAGGGAGGGAGGGGGCGACAGAGAAGAAAGACCGGUAGGGUAGACAGAGACAGAGACUGAGAGAGACCGGUAGGGCAGACAGAGACAGAGACUGAGAGAGACCGUUAGGGUAGCAGGUAGACAGACAGACAGACAAAGAUAGAGAGAGAGAGGGACCAGUAGGGCAGACACAGACAGGGGUGGAAUGGCCAUCUGGCAUGCCGGGCAUCGUCCCGGUGGGCCGUUGACCCAAUGUGGGCCGGUCCGGUCCGCAAAGAUUUUUUUUUUUUCUCGCUCUCUCUAAAUUCCCUCCAAUUAGGCCGGCCAAUUGGCGACAGAGGGCUAGCAGUGUGUUGCCAGCAUCGACACAUAUUAUUGGUCUAUGUUUGUCAUUGUCAAUCAAUCAUGGGCUGACAGGCUCAGAGAGCCCUGACAGUGCUGUGAAUCACAACACAAACCAGGGUGGGCGGGACCUCAUGGCAUGGGCCGGAAUCGCGGGCCGGAAUCGCGGGACGGAGCUGAAAAUGGAUAAAAGCAAGAAACGCCCGGGUGGCGCUGAACAACUGCGACUUAAAAAGCUGAAGUCCCUGGAGGUGGAUGCUGCUAAAUGUUCAAAAUUGACAGACCUAUUUGGUGCCGGGGUUACCACCCAAGCAGGUGCUGCUGCGCCGGGAGACGAGCGAGUGGAGGCAUAUAUGGUUAGUAACGUUAGCCUUGGGCUAGCUUGGCUACAUUUUGAGACAUGUCCAAAACAGUGUGGAAAACGUUUUUACAUUGAAUGUGAUGUGACCUAAUUAACUGCAUACUUGUGACAACAUAUUAGCCCAGAGUUGAAGGGCUGUGACUGUUGGUAGUUGUGGUUGAUUUUUUUUUAAAUAUGCCGAAUUGUGAUAUUAUGGGUUAUUAUUGUUCAGAUGAUUUAGUCAGCAGUCUCUUGUUGCCAUAGCAACCAUAAACAUUGACAUGGACUCAUGAGCUGUAAAUAGAGAUGCAGAAUCAAGCUGUAUUGUAAAUACAGAUGAGAUACUUUGAAUUUUAGCACAAAAUACAAGUAAACCUAUAGGAAAUAAUUAGUUUAAUUUGCUAUAUUUGCCAUUGAAUUUAUUGUGUAACUUGUGUGUAACUUUAAUAUCUGUGUUUUAUUGUAGUUUUCAAAUGGCUGUGUAUAGUGCUGUUUUGAGCAUUUUCAGGUAUUUUUACAAAGAUCUGACUUAUUUGCAUUGGAAAACACUAGUGUCAUAAUCAAAACAUGACAAAGCCAUUAGUGUCGUUACGCUCUUGAACGUUUAGCACAAUAUUAACUAAUCUUUUAUCUUGUACAUUAUUCUGUGGUUUUGAGUUAUUUCCUCAUCCAAUGAUAAAUGCUUUCCCUAUGUCCAGCCCAGAGAGGUUCAGGGCAAGUCGAGCUGGUCAGUUCAGGGAGAGAGCCAGACCAAUGCAGGCAGCCCAAAGACUGCACCGCCUGAGAGGGAAAAGGCUGUAGAGAGUGAGGAGUGUGUCAGCCUUCACUGCACCAACGUUUAGCUGUUGAGUCUCCUCUAGUAUGGUUGACCACUUGACAUGUGAGAGCUUGAGGAGUUGUUCCCCCUCCAUUUUCAAGGACUUGCUCUCUUACUGCCUCCACUUCACCACUUUUUGGCCACUGAGUCGUCUCUGAUUUGUUGAGUUGACCACCCUAUAUAUGAGAGCCUAAGGAGUUGUUUUCCCUCUGUCCCCUUUUGAGGACCUGCUUUUUCUCCUCUAUCAUUCACUGGGCCACUUUUGGGUUCCCUUAGCUUAUUUCAUGUGGUGAGAGGAAUGCAAUAUGUGUAUGUUUAAAGGUUUAUGUGAGGAAACAUACUAUUAUGUGAUAAAAUGAAAAUUGGUAAUUCAUAAAUGUCUCUUUAUAUUCUCUGCUACCAU